GUACAAGAUCUAUAACUAAUUAGUUUACAUAGUUAGUAACUUCAUAACACACACUUUACAGCCAUGGCAAUGGAGAAGUCAUCCUUCAUUUUGGUUUCCUUUGUUUGUCUGAUUCUCAUUGCAAUUGGAUUGGCGAGUUUGGAAGUUGAAGCUGCAACUGCUCCAGCAUGCCACAACGAUUGGAAGCAAUGUGUGAGUUAUUGCGGACCAAUGACUCCAUAUUGUAUCUUUGGACAUUGCAAUUGUGGCGUAGCCCCUGUGCCGCCACGGAAGGCUAUUAGAUCUUUGAUUAAAUUUUAAUUAGGAUUCUAUGAUUAAUUGAUUAUCCAUAAGAUUAUGUAUCUUCAUUUCCGUAUUUUGUUUGGUUUUCGAAUGAAAUAAUGAAUUCAAUAGUGAUUUCUUAUUUU